rnacentral:rRNA from 1 species
UGGGGAAUAUUGCACAAUGGGGGAAACCCUGAUGCAGCGACGCCGCGUGAGCGAAGAAGGUUUUCGAAUCGUAAAGCUCUGUCCUAUGAGAAGAUAAUGACGGUAUCAUAGGAGGAAGCCCCGGCUAAAUACGUGCCAGCAGCCGCGGUAAUACGUAUGGGGCGAGCGUUGUCCGGAAUUAUUGGGCGUAAAGGGUACGUAGGCGGUCUAUUAAGUCAGGUGUGAAAGCGUGAGGCUUAACCUCAUUAAGCACUUGAAACUGAUAGACUUGAGUGAAGGAGAGGAAAGUGGAAUUCCUAGUGUAGCGGUGAAAUGCGUAGAUAUUAGGAGGAAUACCGGUGGCGAAAGCGGCUCUCUGGUCUGUAACUGACGCUGAGGCUCGAAAGCGUGGGGAGCGAACAGG